UCCUAUUCACCGCAGAGCCGUUGCUGGGCUUUGGUCUCUGUCGUGGAGUCAUGGAACUGCUACUUUGUUGGACCCUUCAAGGAAAUUCAGGUUCUUCUCCUACCAAGUCAUCGAAGAGUGCGGUCAUGAUUCACGUGUGCUUCCAGUGCCGUCCUAUUCACCGCAGAGCCGUUGCUGGGCUUUGGUCUCUGUCGUGGAGUCAUGGAACUGCUACUUUGUCGGACCCUUCAAGGAAAUUCAGGUUCUUCUCCUACCAAGUCAUCACAUUUCUUGGCAGGGAACAAAAGGUGCAAUUUUCUCGUUCUGAAGUGGUUGACAGCACAUAAGGACGCCCACUCACACAGUCACACGCUUGUGAAUAUGGAUCACUUCCACUAUAAAGGCUGCUUGGCAAUUGGCACGGCAAACACCGAAGCCGGCUUGACGCACUGCCGAAGUGUGGGCGCGCGAAGGUGCGGUCUGCCCCAAGAUUAAGGCUGCGUUCUUAUUCGAUUAUGGAAUAUCGAUUUUUAUGGGUACGCAUUUUAAGCAUAUUUUGA